UCAAUGUACCCAAAACUAUGAAAUUUCUAACAUACCUAGGUGAAUAUUCUAGGUUUCUAUGGAAGCAGCAUCGGUGCUUGGUUAAAUUCUGGUUGCAAAAUAUUGGCUGCGUAUUUGGCUGUGUAUUUGGCUACUUGGUCCUCUCAGAUAUUUGAAUUCUGAACGCAAAAUAUUCCCAGUUUAGUGUUGCGCUGAUAGUUAUGCAUCUUAUGAUGGCUUCAAUUCUGAAUGCAAUCUCCUACGUGUUCUAGCAAUUCUAGCGCAGUCUCAGAUGCAGUCCAGUCACAAGUGAACUUCUGCCAAGCUUUGUGCAACGAGUAGGCAGGGCCUAAUACAUACAUAAUGUCUAACGGAGAACUAGAUAGUCAACCAACAUCUACACACGUCAAAAUCAAGCAAUUUUGAUUCAACUUCUGGAAACCAGUACAUCAGGCACAGAGAUAUUACAAAAGAUGCAUAGCUCAAUUCGAAUUUUUUUUCAAAUCGCAUGGAAACAGUAACAGAGUUCUGCUAGGAGAAGAGUCAAAUAAAAUUCAGGGACUCACGCUUCCCCAGCAGCAAAAAAUAACAACAUUUACUCCUUGUUUGUUCUACUCAAGAAACAACCCAACAGGAAGGGAGGCAGGCAAACAGAUUUAGGAAACAACAAGCAAAACGCCUUGAAUGCAAUUGAUCUACUCAACAAAUUCACUUCAGAUAACAUGCAAGGACUUCCCUCACUCGCGCCAUUUAUGUUGUGAAUUGCCCUUCAGCACUACUCCUCACAUCAAGCAUUGUAGCAUGCUCCAUGCAAGCAUCGGGGAAAAGGAAUACUGAGGCAAGCGUUCAAGUCUGAGUCUGCCUGCAUCUUAUCCAGAGAAACACCAGAAUGUGGUUCGCUGAGCCAACAGGAAUAUUACGAGCAGUACACACCCGAGGCGUACUUCAAGCCGGACGAGGAGGCCACGGUGUGCAUCGGGAACCUACCCUAUGACAUUGUGCUCUUUGGGUUGGCUGGAAUGGGAUCAUUGUGUUGUCGGAAGCGAGCUUUAUUAGUUAGCUCUUCAUUGUCCUUGUCUGUCAUUGAUGUGUGAAAAUAAUGCCUCAAAUUCCUGAUUCAUCUGCAGUGUAUGCACACAAGAAAUAGACCUGCAAUUAUUGUAACGACAUCGCAUAGUUCUGAGGUGAGCCUUAUGGCUGCUCUGUGAGCUUGUGCGAUAGUUUAGGUUGCAGUUGGUAGCUGUAUGAUCUUAUUUUGAACGCUGUUUGUG